rnacentral:rRNA from 1 species
AGAGUUUGAUCCUGGCUCAGGGACGAACGCUGGCGGCGUGCCUAAUACAUGCAAGUCGAGCGGACCAACGAGGAGCUUGCUCCUCAGAGGUCAGCGGCGGACGGGUGAGUAACACGUGGGCAACCUGCCUGUAAGACUGGGAUAACUCCGGGAAACCGGGGCUAAUACCGGAUAACAUCUUCCUCUGCAUAGAGGAGGAUUGAAAGGUGGCUUCUCGCUAUCACUUACAGAUGGGCCCGCGGCGCAUUAGCUAGUUGGUGAGGUAAGGGCUCACCAAGGCGACGAUGCGUAGCCGACCUGAGAGGGUGAUCGGCCACACUGGGACUGAGACACGGCCCAGACUCCUACGGGAGGCAGCAGUAGGGAAUCUUCGGCAAUGGACGAAAGUCUGACCGAGCAACGCCGCGUGAGUGAGGAAGGCCUUCGGGUCGUAAAGCUCUGUUGUUAGGGAAGAACAAGUACCGUUCGAACAGGGCGGUACCUUGACGGUACUUAACCAGAAAGCCACGGCUAACUACGUGCCAGCAGCCGCGGUAAUACGUAGGUGGCAAGCGUUGUCCGGAAUUAUUGGGCGUAAAGCGCGCGCAGGCGGUCUCUUAAGUCUGAUGUGAAAGCCCACGGCUCAACCGUGGAGGGUCAUUGGAAACUGGGGGACUUGAGUACUGGAGAGGAGAGUGGAAUUCCAUGUGUAGCGGUGAAAUGCGUAGAUAUUUGGAGGAACACCAGUGGCGAAGGCGGCUCUCUGGCCAGUAACUGACGCUGAGGCGCGAAAGCGUGGGGAGCAAACAGGAUUAGAUACCCUGGUAGUCCACGCCGUAAACGAUGAGUGCUAGGUGUUGGGGGGUUCCACCCUCAGUGCUGAC